GGUUGAUCCUGCCAGUAGUCAUAUGCUUGUCUCAAAGAUUAAGCCAUGCAUGUCUAAGUACACACCCUCGUUUGGUGAAACCGCGAAUGGCUCAUUAAAUCAGUUACGGUUCAUUGGAUGUUGAGCAAUUACAUGGAUAACUGUGGUAAUUCUAGAGCUAAUACAUGCCCCAAAGCCGCGCAAGCGGUGCAUUUAUUAGACCAAGACCAAGGGACCAGCAAUGGUUCUGUCGGUGGUGACUCUGGAUAACUUAGCUGAUCGCACGGCCUCGUGCCGGCGAUGUAUCCUUCGAG
rnacentral:rRNA from 1 species